UUAAUCCUUUUAUUCUAAUGUGACUGUUAAAAUGGCUAAGAAGUAUAUUAGAAUUCUUAUAGAUACUUCAACCUAAUAUGUUUAGAGAAUGUGUAUUUGUAGUGGAAUUAAGCUACUGUAAAAUAAAAGGAAAUAUAAAAAUGGUUGUAUAAAGAGUUAUAGCUUUUUAAAAAGUAAAAAUGUCAGUUGCCUUAUUAUAUUGGAAAUAAUUAUUUUAAGCACAGUGCCCAAACCUGACUGACUACCAGUCUGUUGGGGGUUUUGAAAAGAUCCGAAUCCUGGACCCUUUGCCACUGACUCAGUAUCUCUGGAGGUGGGGAUGGUCAGAUGUAUUGAUACUGAAAAGUAUAGACAGGUAAGUUAAACAUAUUCACUAUGAAACAGAUCUGAACCAUGUAGAAAAGUAAGAAGUACAUCAUGCAAUACCACCCUCUUGACAUCUCCCCUAAAACUUCCGUUUUUAGGGAUUGCCUCCGUGGCCACUCAUCUGCAUCGUGUUCCAUACACGACACAAUUGUGUGUGUGUGCACACGUCCAGCUCUAGUUCCAGCUCCGGCUCCCCUUCUCCCCGUCCGUCUCUUCCUGGGGUAAAUGGUGGAGAGAAGGGCAUUCCAAGCACCUGAAACCAAAGCUUUCGGAGGGCAGAAAAAGCAAGAGAGCACCCAGGACCGGCUGUUAGGUGAAUUACCUGGAGUGAUGUGGUGGUGGUGAGUAGGUAAGCUCAGCAGGUGAGAGGGCUGUGUGUAUACAGACUAAGGAGUUUGUAACUGUCGGGACCAAGGGGUGGGUUUUAAAUAGCGGAAUUCCUUUUAUAGUUCAGAGAGAGCUCAUGAGCAGCAGGUGGAGAAUGGACGGAGAGGGAGUCACCUUGGAGUAAAGGGACCAGUUAGGAGACGACUUCAGGAAUUCAGCUGUGAGAUUAUGAAAGACUGAAGUAUGGUGGUGCUGUGAUGGAGAAAAUUGGAUACGUUCGGGCUAAAUGAGCAUCAAUAAAUUACCAGGAUUUAGAGAUUGGGUAUUGGGAUGAGACAGUGGGGGGAGUUAAGAAUGAUUCCAAGUUCCUACUACUCACAUACAUGCAGAUUAGAAACAUGGGACACAUAUCAAGUUUGGGCCAAACUGUGUGACUUCAGAGAUUCUAAGGUCUCCAUGCCUUGACAGCCUGCAUUUCAGUACCACCCAACAACAAGAGUGACUAGAGCAGUCUAUCAACAUGUCACAUUUAAAUUCUACGUGGUAUAAAACAAUGAAGAUUAAGGCUUCCUUAUUUUUCUUCCAGCUGAAUUUACUCCACAGCAUUUUAGAAAAACUCUUCCUGUUUUUCUUGGCAGUAUGGUUUUAUAUUCACUGCUCAAUUAAUUAUUCCCAUUUUAUGUUUACUGCUUAGAAUCAAGUGUAAAAAUGGCUGCAAUAGUAUUUGAAAGACUUUAUCAACAAUUCAGGUGUUUGAUAUAGACCCCGACCUAGUGCAUUAGAUCAAUUAGAUCCCUUGCAACUAAUUCCUCUUGGUGGAACAGCCAGUGCUCAUCAGAGUCAGAUUUCACAGAUAAGAUACUGACACUUCCAGACUGAGUUCAUCUCUGCCAUGUUCUGAGUUACAGUAGUCUGGAAUUUCCACUGAAUACUUGGUGUACUUGAGCAGCUCAAAAGGCUUCUGAAAACAAAAUUUUGGAUUGGUUCUAUCUUCAAAGAAAACUGCAGACUCCUCCUAAGAAGAUAUCCAGGCUUUCAAAUUUCUAAAUCGAAUGUGCCCAGCAGAAGGGAUGAAGGAACAGCUGAUUAACACCUCAUUCCUUGGGGCUGAGAAUCCUGCCUGGCUGGCACACCCUCCCUGCUGGUAAACACCGAGUGUUCCAAGGCAGGCCGUGUGACAGAGACAGGGCACCGCGCUGGGACUGUGGAAGCAGGAUGCCUGCCUUCAGGUCCUGGUGCUGCUGUCUAGGAUCUGGGAGACCCGAGGCAAGUUAUUGAACUUCUCUGAGCCUGGGUCUUCUUUUGUUUUCUUUUUUCCCAUCUAGAAAGGGGAAGACUCGGAAGACAAUGCAAGUUGUGACUGUGAUUGUUGGCUCAGCAUUUCUCCUCUGACUGCCUCUGCCAUGCCUCUUCUAUGCCUAUUGAACUAACAUGCUCCUUUCCACAGGACCUGGGUGACACCCCUGCUUCUGAGGGACUGGGACCAAGGACUGUGUGCCAUUAGCUGACUUCUAGGUCAGCCCUAGAGGUGGCCAGUACCUUACACUUUAUAGCUAGAACCUCUUGCUAGGCCCAAGGAGAACGUUACAAGGAAAUUGCAUCUGCCCACCAAGGGAGGUUAAAUUCUAAGAACAUUAGUUAUACCACGUUCAGUGUGUGUGAGGCAUAAGGCCAUGUGUCAGGGUCUUCUGCCCAGACAUUUGGGUUUGAGGAGUGGCUGACCGAUCCUCUCUGGAAUGAGUUAGGUCAAGCCUGUCUGCAUUACAGUUGCAUGAACUUAUUAAAGGUCUGGGACCAUUAGAAGCUGUGUUCCUAGUUAAAUCUGUAGAUUCUGGAGAGCUGAGCACCAAAUCCAGCUGUUAUCUUAUAUUCCAGAAGUCUUGGUCCAUGUGCCCCGUGCUAGAAGCUAGAUUUAUGCAGCUAUUUUCAGUAGUAAGAGGCUUAGCUGUAUCUUUAUUGGAGACAGGCUGUGUUUUUUUGAUAGCUUAGUGUCUUAUUGCCACCAGUGGAAUGAAGUGGAAUGAAGCACCUGUGUACUUGCAAAAGUCUGUAGUGUGUACAGCCUUGAACUUGCUGGCUCUGCAGUGGAGGGUGACAGUUUUAAUCUGUUCACUAGUAGACCCAGGAACUACCAUGAACUUUGUAAAUCAGUCUGGAACUUUUGUAGGAAAAAUGGGUGGCUAGCCCUUUCUUGAGGAACAUUUCUUUCAUGAACCUCAGGGGACCUGUGUAGUGCUGUUGAUGGAGGAAACCAUUCUACCUGCCAUCGAAUCCCUCCACCAAAUUGCUGGUAGUCCAUGACACCUCCAUUUAUUGGGGCUAACAAAUGGUAGAGACCUAUUCCAGAUACUUUCAGCCCAGUAGAAUUUGAAAACCCUAGGAAUAUCCAGAUCCUGCUCCAUCAUUUCAAUGAUCUCCAUGAGGUUCCAAGAGCAGAUCUAGGCAUAGCACAGUUAAGGAAUUCUAAGUACUUCUUUAUGGCGGAACCUACUUUUAAUGCAUUCCAAUGGAGCUCUAGAUUCAGUAGAGUUCACUUCCCAUGAAAUUAAAAAAAUGUAGAUUAUGUAAGUAUUUUCAUAUGUCAGGAUGUACUGGUUAGUCCAGAUGAACUUGGCCUUAAGGUCCAGGUGACACAUUCUAUGUCUGCAAGUCUAAAUAUUAGUGUUUUUACACCCACAGAUUUGUUGUAUAUUGUAAGUACUUAACACAGUCAGCAACAUAAUCAAAUAAAAGGGCAGAGGAGAGUGAAUAUGGUUUCCGAGGGAAACAUUGCAAGAAUGUGUCAUUUGCUUCCAAAAGGUACUACAAGAAAGAGAUAUGCUUAGAAAAAAAUCCAAAACAAAAACAAGAAACUGCCCCCCUCCGCCCGCCCCCCCCCCCCCCCCAAAAAAAACAGUUUGUAAGCAGUCUAGAAGUUGUUGGAGUAGAAAAUAAAACUUUUUUUUAUCUUUGGACCCUCCACUCAGAAAAAGAUUUUCAUAUGAAGCUAUAGCCUGGGCGGGGGGGAGAUCAAGUCCAAGGCAUUGGUGUUCCAUUAUAUUAGGAGAGAUGGAGACCGAAUCCACGUGGCUUUUAGGAAAACAUGGCCUCAUGGUGAGGACCCAAUCAGGGGUUUGGCUCUAACACUGCAAAAUAUUACAAAGUGACUUUUAGUAGAUAUUUCAGCUGAACAAAACCUCCUAUAAAGCAUAAAGGCAUGGCACUAUAGCCACCUGAUGUGCCCAAAGUGUUACUAAUUAAAUCUGGAGAGAGAAACAUGUCUUGAAAAAAACUGAUUUUGAUGCAUGGAAUGAACAUAGAAAAGCCACUAAGUUGUGGAGAAAGUGGUAUUGCCAGAGUUCUACCAGCCUGAACUGAACUCUUUGAAAGGAAAACAAGAUCUCUGAGCCCCUCAUUUUGUAGGAGUAGAAGAUGGCCAGCAAAAACUUAGCCCCCCCAUACACACAAGGCAUAAAUUUCAUUUUCAUUUUCAGAAAACAAAUGAUGAAGAUGAUGGGAGACGAUUUCAUGGAGGACAGAGCCAGGAACUGCAGGAACAAUGAACUGGGGAUCUUUCUCAUCCCCCACCCCCACUCUGCUCUCCUGCAUCAGGGAACAGAACUGAGGUCUAAUCAGGAAACAGUUUUUUGCUCCUAGGACAGGGAUCUUGGCUGAUUUCCCUAGAGGGAUUUCAAAAUCGCUAAGGAUUGUUUCAUCUCUUUGAACGGGGGUGUUUAUUGUGAUUAUUCUGUCCCUCUGUUACACUGUCAUAUAUUGUAUGGGUGUCAGGAUGGGGUGGGCCAAUAAUGUGUCUUUUUAGUUCAUAGGUCUAAUUCACAUCUGGGCCAGAUGUAGAUGGAGUCCUAAAUGUGUCUGCUACCAUGAUUGGGUGAGACUUCUGGGUGUCCUUUGUUGGGAAUGGAGACAUUUUCCAACUGGAGGGAUGGGAAAAUGUGGCCAAGGAGACAGACAGUAGUUGACUGAAUUAGUAACCUAAGUUUUUGUGUCUUUUGCGCUGUAUCAUUAUCAUGGCCCUAUUAAGGGCAAGAUGUACUUCCCUGUCUUGUGCCUUUGGGUUUGGCUUUAAGAGACUUUGAGUGUUUUCGUCUUUUAUUCUUGUGCUCCUGCCAUCGCCUUGAGAAGAACAUGCCCCAGGAAGCCUUCUGGUUCAGGGGCGAUGAAAGACCAUGGAGAAGACCCAGACCCAUAGACUUGCAGAAUGAAGCAGAGAUGCCCAGUCUGAUUGCAGAGAGAAACCUGUGAAGCAAUGCCAGGAUUUGAAAGCUGGACAGGACGAAAGUCACAGGCUGAACAAAGUGGAGAGGGCUCAUCCGUGUGCCUCUCAGGUAUCGCAAGCAUGGCAGAGUGUGACCUCCAAGGCUAUGUCAUCAAAGACAUUGCAGCUUCCACUUUGCUCUCUGUUGGGUCACUCAACUGGAAGGAUUCAGCUGCGUGUCAUGAGGUCACUCAAAGAACCCUGGAGAGAGGUCCACGUGGUGAGAAACGGAAGCCUCCCACCAAUGACCAGCACCGCCUCGACAGCGGUGAGAGUGGUCCUCCAGCCCCAGCCAGCCUUCAGGCCACCACCGCCCAGGUCAGGAGGCACCUGAGCCAGAACCGCUCAGAUAAGCCACUCCCAGAUUCCUGACCCACGGAAAGUGUGGGUGAUAAUAAAUGUUCAUUGUUUUAAGCUACUAAUAUUUUGGGGUAAUCUGCUACACAGCAUUAGGUAGCUAACAUAAUGUGAGACAGACUCGUCUCAUCAAAUAGAUUACAAGCAUCUUGAAGAAAAGAACCAUAUCUUUCUUUUCUCACAGUGACUUGCAUGGUAUGGAGAUGGCAUUAGCCAAAAUAAAUGAUGUCAAUGCUUCAUGCCUUCUACUCAAGUCAACACAUAUUUAAUUGCCCACCAGAUACUUUUCUAGGAGGUAAGGAAAGCAGUAAAGAAAAAGGAGCAAAAUCAGUAAUAGUGGAUAAGACAUAUAGUAAUAUAUACAUACACACACACACACACACACACACCAGGUCAAUGAAGAUAUGAAACUAAGAAGAAAACUAAAACAAAGAUGGGAGAUGCUAUUUUAUAUAUUUGAUACAGGGUAUCAGGAAGGCUUUCUCUGAUACGACAUCUGAGCAGAGAGCUGUGCACGCGUCUGGGAAAGAGCAUCCCAGGCAGAAGAAAUGAAUGGCAAGUUCAAAGUGUGGAACACUCAGUACAGCUAGUGUGGCUGAGACUGAGUUCAGUAUUUGUCACAGAUUUCACUAGUUGGUUCACUGAGUUUCUCACAACUUUACAUUUAAAUCUCAUUUGGUGACUUGGAUUCCUCUUUCCCUUGUUUCCUGAAUUUGAACAAGGCACCAGAUAUUGGUCUAUUCUAAACAUACCUGUCUAUGUAAAUGAGUCAUUGAACAUAGCUAGUGAGUCAAAAUAGACUGGUAUUUGUAGCUGAAAUGAAGAAUUAAAAAAUUCACCGAUUGCAAUCUUUCUUUCCUUGCUUUUGCCACUUGAAGCUUUCUGACUUCAGUAAAGCCAUUAGUGCCCACCAAUAAAUUAUAUAGCUUUUGUACUAACACGUAUGUUUGAAUGUUUCUGACAUUGCAGGAAAUAAUCAGGCUCAAUCAAUAUAUGUUUAUCAAGACAUAAGGUCUCAGAUCGAUGAGUAAUUAGCUCUCCCAACAGAAGAACAAACAAAAUUCUGUUUCCUAACUACUCUGCCAUUCUGUGCUGUAGAUUUCAUCUCUUUACCCUCUCUUGCUGAAAGAAACACAUGUCAUACAGAAUUGAAUGAUCACUGAAUCAUGAGUUCUGCCUUGAUUGUAGCAUGUUAGUGAUCAUAAAUAAAUGAGAUCGUGUUUGCAUUUCA